rnacentral:lncRNA from 1 species
GGGUCGGAGAGUCAGAGGCCACCCUGAGAUGGACCGAGAUCUUCAGUUGGGGAGGCGCCUCCGGUGAGCUUGCGGCCAGAUGCCCCCUCAGUAGUCCUCCGCAACAGGUGCCGCGCAGCCGAGUGGCGGGCUAGCAUACCGCCUGCCCGCAAUUCGGCCAGGCCUCGAGCCUGCUCCGCCUUCCCGCUGCGGUAGCGCCGCCGGGGAAACGCCGCCACGGGCUGCAUGGGCAGCGCUCGCGCCCCGCCGCUGAGCCGCCGGGGAGCCGUCCAGUCUUCGAAUCCCAGCUUGGUGGCAUGCAUGUUUAGUCCCAGCUACACAGCAGGGAGGCUGAGGCUGAAGGAAUACUUGAGCCCAGGAAUUCAAGACUAGCCUGCACAACAUACCACAGCAUGUUCCGAAGAGAUGAUUGGAAGAUGGAAGUGGAGGGUUAAAUAAUGAAAUGCAGCUAACAUUUCGGAAAGUUUCUAAAAGUUGUACAACAUGCCCUACAGCUACUCUUUAAAUCUCCAAAUCAAAUGAGAAAUGCAACAACUUGAGCAAGAGUGAUCAGUUACUAAGAGGAGUACCUAACGUCCUUAGAAGAAAAGAUUCAGAUCAUAGGGAUUUUAUUUACAGAAAUGUAUUUACCUGUUUGUAAUGUAUGCCAGUUUAGAUGGAGUCUAGCUCUGUGUCCAGGCUGGAGUGCAGGGACAAGAUCUCGGCUCACUGCAACCUCCACCUCCUGUGUUCAAGUGAUUCCACAGGCUUAGCCUCCCUAGAAGCUGGGACUACAGUCUCGUUCUGUCACCCGGGCUGGAGUGCAGGAGGACAAUCUCGGCUCGCUGAAACCUCUGCCGCCUGGGUUCAAGCAAUUCUCUGGGAUAAUGGAAGUCUUAAAAAGAAAAUGGAUACUUCUCUGCCAGGGGAGAUACUGUGAUCAUGAAGGUGGCUUUCCCAGGGCAAGGCUGAUCUAUUGCAUUCUGGAUGUGCUGACUCCUACGAUUUCCCCAAGUGUGGGAAACUCAACUGCAUAAUUUGUGGAAAAUUUGAAGCCAGAUGACAAAGAUGCCUUAGAUGAGCAUAAGUCCUCUCCAACAGAAUAUGCUCCAUUAUAUCCUCAUCCAACAGGCUUUAUGUAUCAAUAGCCUGCCAACAGGACAUUGUUCAUCCACCUUGAAACGGCCAUUCAUCAACCAAGCAGGUUGUUGUUGUCAAUAGGGAGCUCUUCAAAGGGCAUUGCCCAUGUGACAGUGGGAUCCAGUAAUUCCUGAGGUGGUUCCAGACUACAUGCUAGAAAAUUCCCUACUACCUGCUCUUGAACAGGAUGAGCAACUCCUUGCACUUCCCUGGUUUGUGAUGAAGAAAUAAACAAUGCCCAGUUCCUGCCCUGGAGAAGCUCAUUGCAUAGAAAAAGGAAAAAGGCAGAUAUACAUGCCACAGUACAGUGCUGAGACAACAUAAAUCACAAGCAACCAAGUACAAAGUGAAUUAUACAGAAUCUGGUUUUCUUCUGUUUGGAUUUGAUACUGAGCUAUACUGGAUUCACUGACAAGAAGAGUUUGAAUUAGCAGCAUGCUGAGAAUGGACACAGUGUUUGAAGAGACUGAUAAAGAAAGUACAGGAGGAGUUUUAUUUUUGGAAGAAGAAAUGGUCCUUGGGCACAGACCCCAUAUGAGUUUUCCUUUCAGCGUUCUCUGCUCAGCUGUUCUCUGCUGUGGUAAUUUUGGAUCAAAUCACCCUAACGUUUUUCAACAAAGACUUUAGAAGAAAUAAAGCUGCAUUACUUUUUCUUGGCGCAUUCUUCCUUUAGGACCUAUAGUGAGGCAAUGUGUCCAUGCCCGUCUCUUGUGGGUCAGUCACCACUGACACCUUAUUUUGACCACUCGAUGCCAUCAUCUUUCUCUCAUCGAUCCUAAUCCUUGGGACUACGCAUCAAUGUCUGCACAGUGAUGUUUUAAAUAGAGACAGAACUUGCCCUGUGGCCCACGUUGGAGUCCGCUGGCAUGAUCGUGAUCCACUGCAGCCUCAACUUCUUUGGGUUCAAAUGAACUUCCCACCUUAGCCACCUGAGCAUCUCGCCUAUCUGGACUCCACCUAUCCUCCCCUGUCAGCAUCUCACAGCAUAGGCAUGGGCCACCAGAACCAGCUUAUUUUUGUAUUUUUUUAAGCAGAAGAGAUCUUACCAUGUUGUGAAGACUGGUCUCGUACUUCUGGCUGAAGUGAUUUGUUCUCCUAAGCCUUCCAAAUUGGUGGGAUUACAUAUGUGAACCACCACACAAAGACUCCUACUGGUAUAUUUAGAAGGAUAUAAGUAUGCCGGUUUUUGGAUGCAUGCAUGGAGAAGACCCCAAAGCUUUUCACUUUUCCCUGAGUUUGGGCUAAACACUAGAGUUCCUCAAAGAGUCCAUAUCCAAAGUCUGGGCAGUUUUUCUUUUCUUUCUUUUCCUUUUUUUUUUUCUUGGAUUGUUUUUAAAAAAUAUGUCGAGAAUAGUAGACCAUCAAAAAGGUGACAGAACACAGAUUAAGUGGAUAUACAACACAAAGAAUGCAGACCACAAAAAUAGCUCUGGAGGGUUGCUACACAAGUAAACAACCCACAAACUAAGGAAUUGUGGAUGUUAAGAAUUUGUUAUCCAAAUAUGCUGAAUACUAUCCAAUAUUUCAAUUCACUUCAUUUUACUAUUCUCAAAGACCUAAGGGAACCCAGGAGUACAGUGAUUCAAAACUGAAAAUACCAGUAAAGACAUACAGAUUAUUUUAAAAAUGAAAUCAAUAACCUUGAAGUUACUAGGAAGCUGUGUGAUUGAAAGUCAGUCACUCAAUCACAUGAUCCUGGGAUUUUCCUCUACAUGUGGGACUACCCAUACCUUGCAGCAUUGCUGUGAGUUCACCUGAGCAAGACACCUGCACAUGGUGGUGCUCAGGAAAUGUUAAUUUCCCUUUAUUGAAAUGGAACAACCCAUGGGUAUUAUGUCUUGAGGUCUGGAUUACAGUUGAGCAAGAUACAGAAGACGUUGUAAACCCUGAGGAGGCAUCACUGAUCACUGGGAGUCUGGAAAGGCAGCAGAGAAAAAGUGACCUGCAGCUGGAAAUGGCCAAUGGGUCUGUUACAGGAAGUUACACAGGCAUGAGUGGGGCAGAAGAGAGUUCUCCCAUCCACCUACCAGGAAUGUCAGGCCAUCGGGUAAUGGUUGGACAGUUAUCACAUUGCUUUUCUAAAAAUAAUAAUUUAGCAGCAGAGCCAGGGAUAGACAAGUUCCUACUGAUACACAGCUGGUAACAUUAAAGUGUUAACUAAAGUCACACUCCCGGGAGGGGGAAAAAGGGCUUCUAGUAAAAUUUUACAUACUGGGUGAGUGAACUGAGACAUGCACAUUAAGAGACGAAAUGGUACAGCAUGACUUUCUGGGGUCACUCCACCAAAAAAAGGGAGGAAGCUUCAGAUGGGCAUGCAUAUAAAUGCUCAAACACACUGCCUAUGCUCACUUCUCAAGGGUAAGGAGGGCACUGUGCCUGCUGGCAGCCCACACUUAGGAAAGAAUCAUGGAAAAAGGUGCACCAGAUGCUCAAGGUGGGCCAGCCUAUAAAGUCCCAGAAUGAAGAGAAAUGGCCACACUUGUUCUUCAAGUCACCCACUUGGAUCUCUUCCAAGUGCACUUUUCAUUCUUUCCUGCUCUAAAGCUUUUUAAUAAAUGUCCACUCCUGCUGUGAAACUUGCCUCAGGAUUUUUUUUCCUUCUUUAUGCCCAUCAGUUGAACUCUUUCACCUGAGGAGGCAAGAACUGACAUUGCUAAAGACGCAGAUGGAUUUGCUGCCAGUAACUCCGAUACUUUCCACCAGUAACAGAUCUAGGAGCUGGUGGACAUAGUUGCUGAAGCAUGUGUCCAGAAUGUUUCUGCCCAGGCCACAAGCAGUCCUGCACUGUAAAGGGACUUGAACCCCAAGCUCAGGGGACACCAUGGAAAGAGACUUCAGCCCGCUGAUGGAAUACUGGAGAUAGGAAUUUUUUAUUGAGGUAUAAUUCCCAUAAUAUGUUAACUGUUUUUUAAGGUAUAAUUCAGUGACACAGGAAUGUGCAUGUUCUACCACUUCUUAAUUCCAAAUUAUUUUCAUCAUCUCAAAAGGAAAUCCCCUACCUAUUAAGGAGCUACUACCCAAUCUGUCCUCUUUCUGACUCCUGACAAUUAACAAUCUGUUUUCUUUCUCUGUGAAAUUAUUUAUUUUGGAUAUGUUUAUAAAUAA